rnacentral:rRNA from 1 species
GCAGUCGAGCGGAACGAUCCUAGCUUGCUAGGAGGCGUCGAGCGCCGGACGGGUGAGUAAUGCAUAUGAAUCUGCCCGGUAGUGGGGGAUAACCUGGGGAAACCCCGGCUAAUACCGCAUACGCCCUACGGGGGAAAGCAGGGGAUCUUCGGACCUUGCGCUAUCGGAUGAGCCUAUGUCGGAUUACCUAGUUGGGGGGGUGACGGCUCACCCAGGCUGCGAUCCGUAGCUGGUCUGACAAGAUGAUCAACCACAUCGGGA